rnacentral:rRNA from 1 species
UACGAAGGGUGCAAGCGUUACUCGGAAUUACUGGGCGUAAAGGGUGCGUAGGUGGUUUGUUAAGUCUGCUGUGAAAUCCCCGGGCUCAACCUGGGAAUGGCAGUGGAUACUGGCAAGCUAGAGUGCGGUAGAGGGUAGUGGAAUUCCGCGUGUAGCAGUGAAAUGCGUAGAGAUGCGGAGGAACACCGAUGGCGAAGGCAGCCCCCUGGGGUCGACACUGACGCUCAGGCACGAAAGCGUGGGGAGCAAACAGG